rnacentral:rRNA from 1 species
CCUACGGGGGGCUGCAGUCGAGAAUCAUUCACAAUGGGGGAAACCCUGAUGGUGCGACGCCGCGUGGGGGAAUGAAGGUCUUCGGAUUGUAAACCCCUUUCAUGUGGGAGCAAAUUAAAAAGAUAGUACUACAAGAGGAAGAGACGGCUAACUCUGUUCCAGCAGCCGCGGUAAUACAGAGGUCUCAAGCGUUGUUCGGAAUCACUUGGCGUAAAGCGUGCGUAGGCGGUUUCGUAAGUCGUGUGUGAAAGGCGCGGGCUCAACCCGCGGACGGCACAUGAUACUGCGAGACUAGAGUAAUGGAGGGGGAACCGGAAUGCUCGGUGUAGCAGUGAAAUGCGUAGAUAUCGAGAGGAACACUCGUGGCGAAGGCGGGUUACUGGACAUUAACUGACGCUGAGGCACGAAGGCCAGGGGAGCGAAAGGGAUUAGAUACCCCAGUAGUC